CUGGGCGUGACGUUUGGUAGCCUGUAUGGAGACUUCAGAACCUGCUGCGGUUGGGGGUAGUGCACUGAUCCAGUGUAUCUGGCUCAGUGUUGAGGUCCUUGAUCCACUUGGACUUGAGCUUUGUGCAAGGAGUCGAGAAUUGAUCUUCCCAUGUCUGUGAAGAAUUCUGUUGGAAUUUUGAUGGGGAUUGGAUU